rnacentral:rRNA from 1 species
UACGGAGGGUGCAAGCGUUAUCCGGAUUCACUGGGUUUAAAGGGUGUGUAGGCGGGUAUUUAAGUCAGUGGUGAAAUCUCCGGGCUCAACCCGGAAACUGCCAUUGAUACUAUUUAUCUUGAAUAUUGUUGAGGUAGGCGGAAUAUAUCAUGUAGCGGUGAAAUGCUUAGAUAUGAUAUAGAACACCGAUUGCGAAGGCAGCUUACUAAACAAUCAUUGACGCUGAGGCACGAAAGCGUGGGGAUCAAACAGG